CCUACGGGAGGCAGCAGUAGGGAAUAUUGCUCAAUGGGGGAAACCCUGAAGCAGCAACGCCGCGUGGAGGAUGAAGGUUUUCGGAUUGUAAACCCCUUUUGUUAGAGAAGAUAAUGACGGUACCUAACGAAUAAGCACCGGCUAACUCCGUGCCAGCAGCCGCGGUAAAACGGCAGGUGCAAGCGUUACGCGGAAUCACUGGGCGUAAAGGGCGCGUAGGCGGGAUAGCAAGUCAGGUGUGAAAACCUAGGGCUUAACCCUAGAACUGCAUUUGAAACUGUUAUUCUAGAGUAUCGGAGAGGUAGGUGGAAUGCUUGGUGUAGGGGUAAAAUCCAUAGAGAUCAAGAAGAAUACUCAUUGCGAAGGCGACCUACUAGCACAUAACUGACGCUGAUGCGCGAAAGCGUGGGGAGCGAACAGGAUUAGAUACCCCAGUAGUC
rnacentral:rRNA from 1 species